rnacentral:rRNA from 1 species
GACGAACGCUGGCGGCGUGCUUAACACAUGCAAGUCGAACGGAAAGGCCCUGCUUUUGUGGGGUGCUCGAGUGGCGAACGGGUGAGUAACACGUGAGUAACCUGCCCUUGACUUUGGGAUAACUUCAGGAAACUGGGGCUAAUACCGGAUAGGAGCUCCUGCUGCAUGGUGGGGGUUGGAAAGUUUCGGCGGUUGGGGAUGGACUCGCGGCUUAUCAGCUUGUUGGUGGGGUAGUGGCUUACCAAGGCUUUGACGGGUAGCCGGCCUGAGAGGGUGACCGGCCACAUUGGGACUGAGAUACGGCCCAGACUCCUACGGGAGGCAGCAGUGGGGAAUAUUGCACAAUGGGCGGAAGCCUGAUGCAGCAACGCCGCGUGCGGGAUGGCGGCCUUCGGGUCGUAAACCGCUUUCGCCUGUGACGAAGCGUGAGUGACGGUAAUGGGUAAAGAAGCACCGGCUAACUACGUG